UUCUGAAUGUCAAUUGUGCUUGGAACAUUUCAACAGACUUUGUCUUGAUCUUUCUCCUCUGGAAUGGCCAUGAGGCAAGUAACGUUAUAGGUAUUCACGUAUUCAGAUGUUCCUGAGUACUGGACAGACCAUAUUUUCCAGAAUACAUUGACACGGAUCACUUUCGCUACAACAGAACAGAAACGUCAGGCUAUGGGUCCUGUUGGAGGGCCCCUGAUAUCCGUAAGCUAACAUUGCCUUUUGGAAUCCCUGCUACUGUGGCUGAGCUUGGCACAAUUGUGCAAGAGACAUUUCAGCUUCAAAAAUAAUUUGUUCUACAAUACAUGGAGAGUGCAUAUGGAGAUCAGUUAUUUUCUUUGCUUGAUACUGAAGACCUAAAGGAUAAAGACACCAUCAAAGUGCUUGACCUUGACGGCCCACCUCUUAUUACUUUAAAUGUACAAGAACUCAAUAACAUCUCCACAGAUACAUCAGAUGAGAGGUGCUGCCUUGGAUCACGUGAUACUGUGAUAUUGUCCUCUUCAGAAAGUACCUCUUCCCAACGCUCCAGUCCGUGGCCAUCUGAGUUUGAAGUUCCCCGCUUUGCUUAUGAUACAGAGCUCAUUCUUGGGGUAGCUAAUGAAGCACACAUGAAGGAUGGAACACUACUCAACAAUCUGCCUGUGAAAUCAGACAUCCUGGAAAAACUGUCUGAAAGGAUCUUCCAGUUUACAGCCUAUCUGUCAACGCUACAAAUUUGGCAGGUUGCAGAAGCUUUGGUAAAAAAGCACCCAUGUGUUAAAGAGCUUGGGUCCUUCUCAGGCCUGUACGGAUGGCAAACCAGCCUAAAGUACAAGAUGGGCAAUUACAGAUCGAAACUGAGAGGAAUUGGUUGCCUAGAACUGGAAGUGAACUCUGUCAAGAGAAAAUCACCAGAGGACAAGCCCGUUGCCAAGAACAUAAACAAAACAAAGAAGGCGGAGGUAAAUUACCUCCCACCCUGCUGGAGAAACAGAUGAGACCCUGUAGAGGGAGCGAGUGGAGCUACUGGGAGAAGUACAAAUACGUGACAACCACAACAUUGUGAGUGCCAAAAUGGCAAAGACCUUCUCAUAUCGAAGACAAGAUGUCAUUCAGGCUCUUCCUGUGAAGGACUUAAAAGAUAGAUAACCAGCCUUGUUUGAACCCAUUCAGAUUAAGGAAGACUUCAGAAGAAUUACAACUGUUGCUCUUGAGUCCACCUUUAUCCAGAAGCUGGACGAAUAUACACCAAAACUAUUGGACUUGUUUAAGACAAAAGGAGGUGCUGUAAAGGAGGACAUGCAGAAAAUCCUUGGAAGUUCUGUAUGGGUGCAACACCAGCCAGGAAAGAAGAGACAGUGUAAUCCGUGACCUGAUCAUAUACCUCUGUGAGAGGGUUGAAGAACUUAUCACAGAAUACAAGGUAAAGUUUUUUAUUUUUGUAUCCUUAUUUAUCUCUAAAUGAGAUCUUCCCUCUCUCUCCUCUCAAGUUGCACAGUUAAUCUAGUAGCCUAGUCUGUUAUUUUUUUCAUUCCGGAUGCUGACGACACCAUGAUCCGAGAGAACCUUGUUCAGCAUGUGAUGAAGGUGUUCACUGUGAAGGAUCUGGACCAGAAUAUAGAGCAUGGGAUCUGGACCAGAAUAUAGAGCAUGGGAUCUGCAUCGAAGGAGCAGAGGUCCUGGCUGGUAUUCGCAGUGUUACACAGUCAUGUACCUUGCUUAUGGGCCUCAUCUAUGGCUAAAAUCUAAAGUACCCCAAAGAACUGAAGUAUACCUUUGAGGUGUUCCAAAAACUAUUCUUGGAACUUGAUGAUCUCAGGACCUCCCCACGCGUCCAAGCUCUAAAGAUGAAGUUACUUGUUUUCAGAGAUAUCUAAAGAUACCUAUGAGAACUCUCAAAGGGCCACACAUACUGUGGUCUAAACCCUACUCAGUAAGCUGAAAAGCUAGUUGCUAGGUGGUAUAGGAGCUACAGUUCACAUGAUGCUCUUUGUCAGGUGAAGUCAUAAAAGACAUUGUCAAUUCCUGUUUAAAAAAACAGCUUUGUUUUAAAACUUAGUCAUAUGCACUAGUGGAUAUCUGAGAUUAUUUGUCAGGUGCAAGCUAUAUGGAUGUAACUUUACCUAAGGAGGCAUGGUGGAGUUAUUCCCAGAAUGCUUAUACCUGUCAAAAAUAUGUCCAUAUGGGCUUCACUAGUGCAUAUGGAGUCAGGUUUAAGGGAGAAUUUGGCAUAUAUUUUGUAACAAUAUGUGCAAUGUAUGUUUUGAAAACCCAUGUUUUGGUUAAUCUAAAACCGUUUGAAUGAGGUUGUAUUUGAGCUAAAGUUCAUAUUGUGUUUUGUGUAAAGUCUAUUAAGACAAAUCGAUAAUUUAUGUUUCUGUUAAAAUAUUUAUUUGUUGUUAAGGGGCACACAGACCACCAGAAUUUUUUUUCCAAACUGUACAAGAUGUGAGGUCAAAGUGCUAAUCCCAAACUAUCACCUAAACUUUAUGCAGUUGUGAAGAUUUAAAAGUAUUUGUAGUCAGGUGCAAGCUAUCUGGAUGUAACUUUACCUAAUGAGGCAAGGUGUAGUUAUACUCAGAAUGCUUACAGAUGACAAAAUAUGAUUGCUUAAAGAGUAGGGUUUAAGGGACAAUUUGAGAUUGAAGUUUGAAGAAAUUAUAAAAUUAUAAUAUUUAUUUUAUUCAAAAUAAAGAUGUGGAAGUUUGAAGUUGAACACUUGUUUCUUUUGCAUAUUCCCUUAUAUAGAAAUACUACUUUUUUGUAAAUUAUCCUAAAUAUGUUGAGGUAACUAUUUGCAUCAGCUUUUUAAGUAUAGUUGUGAGUAUAUAUUUGAGUAGUAGGACCCCAAUUUAAAUACAUUUUACUAACCUGAGUACCAUAAGUAACUGAGUAAAAUACAUUUGUUGAUAAAACAUAGAAUAUCAAUUACGAUACUGAGUAAAUUCAGGAAAUUAAACGUACAAUAUUAGUUAUGUAACUGAUUACAUUAAGUAUAUUAGACUUAUAACAUUAGUUCUGGGACUUGAAGGAUUUAAGCAGGUCAACAACAACAAAAAUGUUCUGAACCUGAUAAAAUUAAGUUGAAUGAAAGGAAUUUUUGAGAUCCAGUUAGUAGAUUGCACUUCAUAUAUUUGAGUUUGUAAUACACUUAAAGCGAAGUGUAUUAUACUUAAAAUAUCCUCCUUGUUGGAUUUACUUAAAAACCUGAUGCAAAUAGUUACCAAAAAUGUUUUAAAAGGGGCACAAUAUUUUUUACAGUGAAUGUUUGUAUCAUGUUUUUGUGCUGCUACCAUAUUGUGUUGCUACCAUGUUGUUGUCAUGUUGUGUUGCUACCAAGAUGUGUUAUGUGUUGCUGCCUUGUUAUGUUGUCUUAGGUGUCUCUCUUGUUGUGAUGUGUUUUUUGUCCUAUAUCUAUAUUGCAUUAAUUUUUUAAAAUCCCAGGCCCUGUCCCCGCAGUAGGCCUUUUGUCUUUUGGUUUGCCGUCAUUGUAAAUAAGAAUUUGUUCUUUUAACUGACUUGCCUAGUUAAAUAAAGGUUAAAUAAAUAAAA